rnacentral:sRNA from 1 species
GUCAAAGUGUGUUUAAUAUGAUCCUCUACAGCAUCCACCGGGCAGCAGAUCUAUUUGAAUUCCUUGAAUGCCCAGUGUCUAAUCAAAGAGUAUGGAUCACUAGAGAAUGGUCCAGAGGUAAUCAAAGCUACAAUAGUAGCUAUUGAGAGGAUCUUUAUGACCGAGGACAUCCGCAAGCGUCUUCGCUAUUUAAGUCAUAUUCCAUUGACUUGCGAGUUUCAUGUUGUGGAGUUGAAACUAAUGCCUCCAAUAUUAAGCAAAGAAACACUGAGACAUUUCCAUCGUAAGUUUGA